rnacentral:lncRNA from 1 species
AUACUCUAAGCUUUAGGGUACAUGUGCACAUUGUGCAGGUUAGUUACAUAUGUAUACAUGUGCCAUGCUGGUGCGCUGCACCCACUAACGUGUCAUCUAGCAUUAGGUAUAUCUCCCAAUGCUAUCCCUCCCCCCUCCCCCGACCCCACCACAGUCCCCAGAGUGUGAUAUUCCCCUUCCUGUGUCCAUGUGAUCUCAUUGUUCAAUUCCCACCUAUGAGUGAGAAUAUGCGGUGUUUGGUUUUUUGUUCUUGCGAUAGUUUACUGAGAAUGAUGGUUUCCAAUUUCAUCCAUGUCCCUACAAAGGACAUGAACUCAUCAUUUUUUAUGGCUGCAUAGUAUUCCAUGGUGUAUAUGUGCCACAUUUGCUUAAUCCAGUCUAUCAUUGUUGGACAUUUGGGUUGGUUCCAAGUCUUUGCUAUUGUGAAUAGUGCCGCAAUAAACAUACGUGUGCAUGUGUCUUUAUAGCAGCAUGAUUUAUAGUCCUUUGGGUAUAUACCCAGUAAUGGGAUGGCUGGGUCAAAUGGUAUUUCUAGUUCUAGAUCCCUGAGGAAUCGCCACACUGACUUCCACAAUGGUUGAACUAGUUUACAGUCCCACCAACAGUGUAAAAGUGUUCCUAUUUCUCCACAUCCUCUCCAGCACCUGUUGUUUCCUGACUUUUUAAUGAUUGCCAUUCUAACUGGUGUGAGAUGAUAUCUCAUAGUGGUUUUGAUUUGCAUUUCUCUGAUGGCCAGUGAUGAUGAGCAUUUCUUCAUGUGUUUUUUGGCUGCAUAAAUGUCUUCUUUUGAGAAGUGUCUGUUCAUGUCCUUCGCCCACUUUUUGAUGGGGUUGUUUGUUUUUUUCUUGUAAAUUUGUUUGAGUUCAUUGUAGAUUCUGGAUAUUAGACCUUUGUCAGAUGAGUAGGUUGCGAAAAUUUUCUCCCAUGUUGUAGGUUGCCUGUUCACUCUGAUGGUAGUUUCUUUUGCUGUGCAGAAGCUCUUGAGUUUAAUUAGAUCCCAUUUGUCAAUUUUGGCUUUUGUUGCCAUUGCUUUUGGUGUUUUGGACAUGAAGUCCUUGCCCACGCCUAUGUCCUGAAUGGUAAUGCCUAGGUUUUCUUCUAGGGUUUUUAUGGUUUUAGGUCUAACGUUUAAAUCUUUAAUCCAUCUUGAAUUGAUUUUUGUAUAAGGUGUAAGGAAGGGAUCCAGUUUCAGCCUUCUACAUAUGGCUAGCCAGUUUUCCCAGCACCAUUUAUUAAAUAGGGAAUCCUUUCCCCAUUGCUUGCUUUUCUCAGGUUUGUCAAAGAUCAGAUAGUUGUAGAUAUGCGGCAUUAUUUCUGAGGGCUCUGUUCUGUUCCAUUGAUCUAUAUCUCUGUUUUGGUACCAGUACCAUGCUGUUUUGGUUACUGUAGCCUUGUAGUAUAGUUUGAAGUCAGGUAGUGUGAUGCCUCCAGCUUUGUUCUUUUGGCUUAGGAUUGACUUGGCGAUGCGGGCUCUUUUUUGGUUCCAUAUGAACUUUAAAGUAGUUUUUUCCAAUUCUGUGAAGAAAGUCAUUGGUAGCUUGAUGGGGAUGGCAUUGAAUCUGUAAAUUACCUUGGGCAGUAUGGCCAUUUUCACGAUAUUGAUUCUUCCUACCCAUGAGCAUGGAAUGUUCUUCCAUUUGUUUGUGUCUUCUUUUAUUUCGUUGAGCAGUGUUUUGUAGUUCUCCUUGAAGAGGUCCUUCACAUCCCUUGUAAGUUGGAUUCCUAGGUAUUUUAUUCUCUUUGAAGCAAUUGUGAAUGGGAGUUCACUCAUGAGUUGGCUCUCUCUUUGUCUGUUGUUGGUGUAUAAGAAUGCUUGUGAUUUUUGUACAUUGAUUUUGUAUCCUGAGACUUUGCUGAAGUUGCUUAUCAGCUUAAGGAGAUUUUGGGCUGAGACGAUGGGGUUUUCUAGAUAAACAAUCAUGUCAUCUGCAAACAGGGACAAUUUGACUUCCUCUUUUCCUAAUUGAAUACCCUUUAUUUCCUUCUCCUGCCUGAUUGCCCUGGCCAGAACUUCCAACACUAUGUUGAAUAGGAGCGGUGAGAGAGGGCAUCCCUGUCUUGUGCCAGUUUUCAAAGGGAAUGCUUCCAGUUUUUGCCCAUUCAGUAUGAUAUUGGCUGUGGGUUUGUCAUAGAUAGCUCUUAUUAUUUUGAAAUACGUCCCAUCAAUACCUAAUUUAUUGAGAGUUUUUAGCAUGAAGGGUUGUUGAAUUUUGUCAAAGGCUUUUUCUGCAUCUAUUGAGAUAAUCAUGUGGUUUUUGUAUUUGGCUCUGUUUAUAUGCUGGAUUACAUUUAUUGAUUUGCGUAUAUUGAACCAGCCUUGCAUCCCAGGGAUGAAGCCCACUUGAUCAUGGUGGAUAAGCUUUUUGAUGUGCUGCUGGAUUUGGUUUGCCAGUAUUUUAUUGAGGAUUUUUGCAUCAAUGUUCAUCAAGGAUAUUGGUCUAAAAUUCUCUUUUUUUGUUGUGUCUCUGCCCGGCUUUGGUAUCAGAAUGAUGCUGGCCUCAUAAAAUGAGUUAGGGAGGAUUCCCUCUUUUUCUAUUGAUUGGAAUAGUUUCAGAAGGAAUGGUACCAGCUCCUCCUUGUACCUCUGGUAGAAUUCGGCUGUGAAUCCAUCUGGUCCUGGACUCUUUUUGGUUGGUAAACUAUUGAUUAUUGCCACAAUUUCAGAGCCUGUUAUUGGUCUAUUCAGAGAUUCAACUUCUUCCUGGUUUAGUCUUGGGAGAGUGUAUGUGUCAAGGAAUGUAUCCAUUUCUUCUAGAUUUUCUAGUUUAUUUGCGUAGAGGUGUUUGUAGUAUUCUCUGAUGGUAGUUUGUAUUUCUGUGGGAUCGGUGGUGAUAUCCCCUUUAUCAUUUUUUAUUGUGUCUAUUUGAUUCUUCUCUCUUUUUUUCUUUAUUAGUCUUGCUAGCGGUCUAUCAAUUUUGUUGAUCCUUUCAAAAAACCAGCUCCUGGAUUCAUUGAUUUUUUGAAGGGUUUUUUGUGUCUCUAUUUCCUUCAGUUCUGCUCUGAUUUUAGUUAUUUCUUGCCUUCUGCUAGCUUUUGAAUGUGUUUGCUCUUGCUUUUCUAGUUCUUUUAAUUGUGAUGUUAGGGUGUCAAUUUUGGAUCUUUCCUGCUUUCUCUUGUAGGCAUUUAGUGCUAUAAAUUUCCCUCUACACACUGCUUUGAAUGCGUCCCAGAGAUUCUGGUAUGUGGUGUCUUUGUUCUCGUUGGUUUCAAAGAACAUCUUUAUUUCUGCCUUCAUUUCGUUAUGUACCCAGUAGUCAUUCAGGAGCAGGUUGUUCAGUUUCCAUGGAGUUGAGCGGCUUUGAGUGAGAUUCUUAAUCCUGAGUUCUAGUUUGAUUGCACUGUGGUCUGAGAGAUAGUUUGUUAUAAUUUCUGUUCUUUUACAUUUGCUGAGGAGAGCUUUACUUCCAACUAUGUGGUGAAUUUUGGAAUAGGUGUGGUGUGGUGCUGAAAAAAAUGUAUACUCUGUUGAUUUGGGGUGGAGAGUUCUGUAGAUGUCUAUUAGGUCUGCUUGGUGCAGAGCUGAGUUCAAUUCCUGGGUAUCCUUGUUGACUUUCUGUCUCGUUGAUCUGUCUAAUGUUGACAGUGGGGUGUUAAAGUCUCCCAUUAUUAAUGUGUGGGAGUCUAAGUCUCUUUGUAGGUCACUCAGGACUUGCUUUAUGAAUCUGGGUGCUCCUGUAUUGGGUGCAUAAAUAUUUAGGAUAGUUAGCUCCUCUUGUUGAAUUGAUCCCUUUACCAUUAUGUAAUGGCCUUCUUUGUCUCUUUUGAUCUUUGUUGGUUUAAAGUCUGUUUUAUCAGAGACUAGGAUUGCAACCCCUGCCUUUUUUUGUUUUCCAUUUGCUUGGUAGAUCUUCCUCCAUCCUUUUAUUUUGAGCCUAUGUGUGUCUCUGCACGUGAGAUGGGUUUCCUGAAUACAGCACACUGAUGGGUCUUGACUCUUUAUCCAACUUGCCAGUCUGUGUCUUUUAAUUGCAGAAUUUAGUCCAUUUAUAUUUAAAGUUAAUAUUGUUAUGUGUGAAUUUGAUCCUGUCAUUAUGAUGUUAGCUGGUGAUUUUGCUCAUUAGUUGAUGCAGUUUCCUCCUAGUCUCGAUGGUCUUUACAUUUUGGCAUGAUUUUGCAGCGGCUGGUACCGGUUGUUCCUUUCCAUGUUUAGCGCUUCCUUCAGGAGCUCUUUUAGGGCAGGCCUGGUGGUGACAAAAUCUCUCAGCAUUUGCUUGUCUAUAAAGUAUUUUAUUUCUCCUUCACUUAUGAAGCUUAGUUUGGCUGGAUAUGAAAUUCUGGGUUGAAAAUUCUUUUCUUUAAGAAUGUUGAAUAUUGGCCCCCACUCUCUUCUGGCUUGUAGGGUUUCUGCCGAGAGAUCCGCUGUUAGUCUGAUGGGCUUUCCUUUGAGGGUAACCCGACCUUUCUCUCUGGCUGCCCUUAACAUUUUUUCCUUCAUUUCAACUUUGGUGAAUCUGACAAUUAUGUGUCUUGGAGUUGCUCUUCUCGAGGAGUAUCUUUGUGGCGUUCUCUGUAUUUCCUGAAUCUGAACGUUGGCCUGCCUUGCUAGAUUGGGGAAGUUCUCCUGGAUAAUAUCCUGCAGAGUGUUUUCCAACUUGGUUCCAUUCUCCACAUCACUUUCAGGUACACCAAUCAGACGUAGAUUUGGUCUUUUCACAUAGUCCCAUAUUUCUUGGAGGCUUUGUUCAUUUCUUUUCACUCUUUUUUCUCUAAUCUUGUCUUCUAACUUUAUUUCAUUAAUUUGAUUUUCAAUCACUGAUAUCCUUUCUUCCACUUGAUUGAAUUGGCUAUUGAA